GCCAGCAUGGUGUAGUGGUUAGAGUGCUGGACUAAGACUCUGAAGACCAGGGUUCAAAUCCCAGCUUGGCC